UACGGAGGGGGCUAGCGUUGUUCGGAAUUACUGGGCGUAAAGCUCACGUAGGCGGCUUUGCAAGUUAGAGGUGAAAGCCCGGGGCUCAACUCCGGAAUUGCCUUUAAAACUGCAUCGCUAGAAUUGUGGAGAGGUAAGUGGAAUUCCGAGUGUAGAGGUGAAAUUCGUAGAUAUUCGGAAGAACACCAGUGGCGAAGGCGACUUACUGGACACAUAUUGACGCUGAGAUGCGAAAGCGUGGGGAGCAAACAGG
rnacentral:rRNA from 1 species